rnacentral:rRNA from 1 species
AACGAACGCUGGCGGCGCGCUUAACACAUGCAAGUCGAGCGCAGCGGCGGACGGGUGAGUAACACGUGAGUAACCUGCCUUAGACAUUGGGAUAGCCUCGGGAAACCGGGAUUAAUACCAAAUGGUCUAAGAUGGACUAGCGUCCCAUUAGUUAGUUGGUGCGGUAACGGCCCACCAAGGCGACGAUGGGUAGCCGGGCGGGGAGGGUGAACGGCCACAUUGGAACUGAGAAACGGUCCAAACUCUACGGUAGGCAGAAGUGGGGAAUAUUGAACAAUGGAGGGAACUCUGAUGCAGCGACGCCGCGUGAACGAAGAAGGCUUUCGAGUCGUAAAGUGCUUUUAUAUGGGAAGCGGUACCAUAAGAAAAAGCCCCGGCUAACUACGUGCCAGCCGCCGCGGUAAUUC